AGCGGACGCUGGCGGCAGGCCUAACACAUGCAAGUCGAACGAACUCUUCGGAGUUAGUGGCGGACGGGUGAGUAACACGUGGGAACGUGCCUUUAGGUUCGGAAUAACUAAGGGAAACUUGUGCUAAUACCGAAUGUGCCCUUCGGGGGAAAGAUUUAUCGCCUUUAGAGCGGCCCGCGUCUGAUUAGCUAGUUGGUGGGGUAAUGGCCCACCAAGGCUACGAUCAGUAGCUGGUCUGAGAGGAUGACCAGCCACAUUUGGACUGAGACACAGCCCAAACUCCUACGGGAGGCAGGAGUGGGGAACCUUGCGAAAUGGGCGAAAGCCUGACGCAGCCAUGCCGCGUGGAUGAUGAAGGUCUUAGAAUUGUAAAAUCCUUUCACCGGUGAAGAUAAUGACUGUAGCCGGAGAAGAAGCCACGGCUAACUUCGUGCCAGCAGCCGCCGUAACAC
rnacentral:rRNA from 1 species